rnacentral:rRNA from 1 species
CCUACGGGAGGCAGCAGUCGGGAAUUUUCGUCAAUGGGGGGAACCCUGAACGAGCAAUGCCGCGUGAGUGAAGAAGGUCUUCGGAUCGUAAAGCUCUGUUGUAAGAGAAAAACGGGUAUCAUAGAGAAUGAUGAUAUCGUGAUGGUAUCUUACCAGAAAGCCACGGCUAACUACGUGCCAGCAGCCGCGGAAAUACGUAGGUGGCAAGGGGUAUCCGGAAUGAUUGGGGGAAAGGGGUGCGUAGGCGACAAAAUAAGUCUGAAGUAAAAGGCGGGGGCUCAACCAACGUAAGCAUUUGAAACUGUUAAGCUAGCGUGAAGGAGAGGUUAGUGGAAUUCCAUGUGUAGCGGUAAAAUGCGUAGAUAUAUGGAGGAACACCAGUGGCGAAGGCGGCUAACUGGCCUGUAACGGACGCUGAGGCACGAAAGCGUGGGGAGCAAAUAGGAUUAGAUACCCUUGUAGUC